GGGCCGCAGGGACGCGGGGCGCAGGAGCCGCGGCGCAGCCCGGCGCGGAGGAGGGUGACGUUUCCGCCUCGCGCUGAGGAUUCUGGUAACACGGAAACACCGCGAGAGGUGGUCGCCUUCGCGCGAGACCUGCGUCCCGCUGGAGCGACACCUCCGUGGAGGCGGGUUCCCGGGACUGAGGGGCGAGGUUCUGCAGCGAGUGGGAAGUAGCGCGGUUAAAACUCCAGGCCGCUGCUGAAGGUGCCCUGACCUGGAAUCGAACUGGCAACCCUUCGGUGCAGAUGAAGGCCUUCCUUGCUCUCUCCUGGGUCUCCAGCCAGCCAGCCCACCCUGCAGAUUUUUGAUUUGCCAGCCUCCAUAAUCAGAUCUUCACAGGAUAGACUUUGUUGGAAAAUGAAGAUGAACUUGGUCUUUGGCUGGACCGUCGCCUCUGACAAUAGGAGACUGAGGAUUCCUACAGCUCUGUGAUGGGCUGGUGCUCUCGGCGUCCAUCAGCGACCCCGGGACCAGAUCUCCCCGUGCGUUCUCACCUGCUGCGAUCAUUGGGUGGAGGCAAAGGUACUGCCUUUGAGCUUUGCAAUAAGUAUUGAAAGGAUCACCCCUUUCACUUAAUCUUCUGCAAUUAAAAUUGUGCUUUUUAAAAAUCUUGUAGCUUAAUGUCAACAUUCCAAUU